rnacentral:rRNA from 1 species
UACGUAGGGUGCGAGCGUUAAUCGGAAUUACUGGGCGUAAAGCGUGCGCAGGCGGUUUUGUAAGCCAGAUGUGAAAUCCCCGGGCUCAACCUGGGAAUGGCAUUUGGGACUGCAAGGCUUGAGUGCGGCAGAGGAGACUGGAAUUCCAGGUGUAGCGGUGAAAUGCGUAGAUAUCUGGAGGAACACCGGUGGCGAAGGCGGCAUCCUGGACCGAGAUUGACGCUGAGGCGCGAAAGCCAGGGGAGCAAACGGG